CACCGCGGUUAUACGAGAGGCCCUAAUUGAUAGAAACGGCGUAGAGAGUGGUUAUGGGAUCCCCCAAAAUUAAAGUCGAAAACCCCCUUGUCUGUUAUACGCACCCGGGGGCUCUAAGCCCGCUAACAAAAGUGACUUUAUUAUUGUCCACCAGAACCCACGACAGCUAGG
rnacentral:rRNA from 1 species